UACGUAGGGGGCAAGCGUUGUCCGGAUUUAUUGGGCGUAAAGAGCGUGUAGGCGGCUAGGUAGGUCCGUUGUGAAAACUCGAGGCUCAACCUCGAGACGCCGAUGGAAACCAUCAGACUAGAGUCCGGAAGAGGAGAGUGGAAUUCCUGGUGUAGCGGUGAAAUGCGCAGAUAUCAGGAAGAACACCCGUGGCUAAGGCGGCUCUCUAGUACGGUACUGACGCUGAGACGCGAAAGCGUGGGGAGCGAACAGG
rnacentral:rRNA from 1 species